rnacentral:rRNA from 1 species
ACAUGCAAGUCGAGCGGAAACGAUCCUAGCUUGCUAGGAGGCGUCGAGCGGCGGACGGGUGAGUAACGCGUGAGAAUCUACCCAUGAGUGGGGGACAACCCGGGGAAACUCGGGCUAAUACCGCAUACGCCCUACGGGGUAAAGCAGGGGACCUUCGGGCCUUGCGCUGAUGGAUGAGCUCGCGUCGGAUUAGCUUGUGGGUGAGGUAAAGGCUCACCAAGGCGACGAUCCCGUAGCUGGUCUGAGAGGAUGAUCAGGCCACACCGGGACUGAGACACGGCCCGGACUCCUACGGGAGGCAGCAGUGGGGAAUCUUGGACAAUGGGGGCAACCCUGAUCCACCCAUGCCGCGUGUGUGAAGAAGGCCUUCGGGUUGUUAAGCACUUUCAGCAGGGAGGAAGGCUUACCCCUAAUACGGGUGAGUACAUGACGUUACCUGCAGAAGAAGCACCGGCUAAUUUCGUGCCAGCACCCGCGGUAAUACGAAAGGUGCAAGCGUUAAUCGGAAUUACUGGGCGUAAAGCGCGCGUAGGCGGUGUGUUAAGUCGGAUGUGAAAGCCCAGGGCUCAACCUUGGAAUUGCAUCCGAUACUGGCACGCUAGAGUGCAGGAGAGGGAGGGUUAAGGCGACA